rnacentral:rRNA from 1 species
AUGAACGCUAGCGACAGGCUUAACACAUGCAAGUCGAGGGGCAGCACAGGUAGCAAUACCGGGUGGCGACCGGCGCACGGGUGAGUAACGCGUAUGCAACUUGCCUAUCAGAGGGGGAUAACCCGGCGAAAGUCGGACUAAUACCGCAUGAAGCAGGGGCCCCGCAUGGGGAUAUUUGCUAAAGAUUCAUCGCUGAUAGAUAGGCAUGCGUUCCAUUAGGCAGUUGGCGGGGUAACGGCCCACCAAACCGACGAUGGAUAGGGGUUCUGAGAGGAAGGUCCCCCACAUUGGUACUGAGACACGGACCAAACUCCUACGGGAGGCAGCAGUGAGGAAUAUUGGUCAAUGGGCGUAAGCCUGAACCAGCCAAGUCGCGUGAGGGAUGAAGGUUCUAUGGAUCGUAAACCUCUUUUAUAAGGGAAUAAAGUGCGGGACGUGUCCCGUUUUGUAUGUACCUUAUGAAUAAGGAUCGGCUAACUCCGUGCCAGCAGCCGCGGUAAUACGGAGGAUCCGAGCGUUAUCCGGAUUUAUUGGGUUUAAAGGGUGCGUAGGCGGCCUUUUAAGUCAGCGGUGAAAGUCUGUGGCUCAACCAUAGAAUUGCCGUUGAAACUGGGGGGCUUGAGUAUGUUUGAGGCAGGCGGAAUGCGUGGUGUAGCGGUGAAAUGCAUAGAUAUCACGCAGAACCCCGAUUGCGAAGGCAGCCUGCCAAGCCAUUACUGACGCUGAUGCACGAAAGCGUGGGGAUCAAACAGGAUUAGAUACCCUGGUAGUCCACGCAGUAAACGAUGAUCACUAGCUGUUUGCGAUACACUGUAAGCGGCACAGCGAAAGCGUUAAGUGAUCCACCUGGGAGUACGCCGGCAACGGUGAAACUCAAAGGAAUUGACGGGGGCCCGCACAAGCGGAGGAACAUGUGGUUUAAUUCGAUGAUACGCGAGGAACCUUACCCGGGUUUGAACGCAUUCGGACCGAGGUGGAAACACCUUUUCUAGCAAUAGCCGUUUGCGAGGUGCUGCAUGGUUGUCGUCAGCUCGUGCCGUGAGGUGUCGGCUUAAGUGCCAUAACGAGCGCAACCCUUGCCACUAGUUACUAACAGGUGAUGCUGAGGACUCUGGUGGGACUGCCAGCGUAAGCUGCGAGGAAGGCGGGGAUGACGUCAAAUCAGCACGGCCCUUACAUCCGGGGCGACACACGUGUUACAAUGGCGUGGACAAAGGGAGGCCACCUGGCGACAGGGAGCGAAUCCCCAAACCACGUCUCAGUUCGGAUCGGAGUCUGCAACCCGACUCCGUGAAGCUGGAUUCGCUAGUAAUCGCGCAUCAGCCAUGGCGCGGUGAAUACGUUCCCGGGCCUUGUACACACCGCCCGUCAAGCCAUGGGAGCCGGGGGUACCUGAAGUCCGUAACCGAAAGGAUCGGCCUAGGGUAAAACUGGUGACUGGGGCU